AUGGUGUUUUUUGAACUCAAAGAUUCAUCUGAGCUGACUUCUUCAAAGGAGACACCUUUUCUCCCUGAAAUUUGUUCUCCUGAAGAUAUAGAUGAAUCACAAGCCUCAGUCCCUGAUCUUUUACUUUUCCGAUGCAUACUAGCAUGCCCUCUCCAUGAACGCGAAUUACUUGCAAAUUCUAUUACCUACCAAGAACCAAAAGUAUCUUUUGAGGAAGGAAACGAAAUUGCUCUUAAAUGCGGCUACACUUCUAGCCAGUCGAACCCAUGUUUGUACUGGUACCGUUACAAUCCCAAAGAUGGGCUCAAGUACAUUUUAUUAAAAUUUAAAAGCAAUUUCUCUCAUUCAGAGGACUUUGCAAAAGGAAGGUUUUCUGUGGUAACCAAUGCCAGUCAGUCAGUAAUAACUAUUUCCAGCGUAAACAUGCAGGACUCCGGGGUUUAUUACUGUGCGACUGAGGCAGCACGAUGA